AGAGCAAAUUGCAGAGCCCGUCCGACACCGGAUCACGGAGGUGGUGGAUGCUGGCGCCGCCACCUCACUGUCACUUACGCCCGUCCGGGCUCUAACCCGAUUCGACAUGUUGGCACGCAGACGGGUUGCGUACAUGGACCGGGACCAGCAGGAAUCCCGCCAUGGCAGUUGAUGGUUGAGAGAAGUUGGAGUUUGAUUUGAGACUGCGGAGAAACAAGGAAGACCUCACCCGCAUGCCCCCCACCCCCAACCCUUCUCUCAAGACCAACAUCAACAACGAUACAGGAGGAGGAGACCGCUCAGCUACUGUUAGCGUCCGAUACGCCGGUGUGGGACUCACGGUGUGUGCAGCGGCUGACAGGGGAGUCCUCUGGACGGGGGUGCGUCGGUGACUGCGAUUGUCCCAUAGGACGAUCUGGCCCGAGUAGGUCCCGCCCACCACCAGGUUGGGGUGGAACCUGGCAAAGCCCACGGACACCACUGGAGACUGCAAGGAGGAGAUAAGUGGGCGGUGAGCGGCGUUUGAGUCUCCUUGCUGUACAAGACCACCUCUCUUGGCUGGAAGUCCACCUGUGUGAUCUUGGUGGCCCCCAGCUUGAGCAUCCUGCGCCUAGUUUGCAGACAAAAGAUAACGUACCCGAGCUCGGAAUCGGCCUGCAGCUGCAGCACCGUGGGGUCUGUGUCCCACUGCAGUGUCCUGCCAUGACCAGCAGAGGGGAUAAGAGCAUACAAAUAACCAGUCUUUCACCAAAAAUAUUGCAUAUUCAUGUAUCGUUGCAGAUUAACCACGCAAUUUAUUGAGAUUCUUUGGAAAUAAUUUGUUCUAUUCAUUCAUGUAGAGCCCCCUUACAUUAACUGUGGAUGGUUACCUGAGGGGGUUGUGAUCAGGUCAGUGAAUACGCAUCCAAAAUGUGGCUUCAAAAUACACCCCGACAGGUCUUUAGUUGAUACUUUGACCAGUUUUUCAGCAAAUAAAUUAAGUACAUUCAGGUCAAACUUUAAAAAAUUGCAUUCUGAUGAUAAAUUUGCCUUUGUGUCAAAAUAUCGGGAUCUUUUUUAGGUUAAUUUGAGUACCUUGAAAGUAGAAAAGUGCUAUACAAGUAUAACCCAUUUAUCAUUUAUCAUUAUCAUUUAAUUUAAAUGAUGUAAGUGAGUCAUUUCCUGUGAUUAUUCACGAUGAAUUAAGUGUGAAACGAGUCAUUUGGCAACACUCCUUUAUAUACCAGACAUAUAGCAUACUGUACACAGUAAGAAAGCUCCAGUGCACCUUUUCAUAGAAACAUAUUUGGAGAGGCAGCAGACAUGCAUGAUGAUGAAGUCUUUCACACCUUCUAGGGCUCUACCGAGGCUUUUUGUGGCUCUAAACAAGAUUGGAUUUGUGGCCCCAUUUCGGCCUUCAAUAUCACUGGCGUAACACGUUAGGGGCUACUUGACCUCAGCCUGGUGACUAUUCUAAUAGACGUCCAUCGCCAGCUUGUAAAGAUGACUAAGUGGCUGUUACUUUAUGUCUAGAAGGCUUUUCAUGUUCAAAACUGUAUUUAGAAAGCCAUAAACAGGUUUUCAUCCCCUCCAUUUAUAAUGAAUUAUAAUUCCUACUUCAUGGAAAUGAAUUUACCAUAGAUUAACAGCUAUAAACAGGUGUUUACUGUAUUAUUCUUGGUGACCUGAACAAAAAUAUACUGUAUUUUAAGUGCAUUUUUAAUAAAAGAUUAGGAAAUGAUGUAUUAUUAAUAUUUUAUAAGAUUUUUAUUUAUUUUUAUUUAUUUUAAAUAAUCAUGUAAAGGACUCCAUUGACAACUGCAAUUAAUUUUAUAUGCAAUAUGUUCAAUAGAUAUGUGUUUGUAUUCCAAAGUUGAUUUGGAAAUGUGAAAUAAAAAUAGGUUGAUAGGUCUCAAGGGGAGAGAAACGUGUUUGCUCGCUCCUUCCUACCACAGUGAAUCCAAUUCAAAACUCCUAUGUCUUGCAAAAGUAAACAA